rnacentral:rRNA from 1 species
AUGCUUGUGAUUGGUCAGAAUUGUAUGCUUUGCUUGAUUAUAUGGCUCCUAACGCAAGUGCUUGGGCAUUCUGCAUCUGUGAUAUUGAUACUAACGGACAAUGGUACAUAUCAAGAGCAGGAAAAUAGGAUCCCUAAUAUGUUGAAUGUGCUCUUGAACAUCCCUUUUCUUUUUGUCGGCCUCACCGAGCUCAUCUUGUGCCAAUACAAGAACUACUUCACGCUAUGCUUGCAGGGGGAGCUCUGGAGUUGGACACUCUCCUUUGCUGGUUUCACUGCUGUCGGUAUUGGUUCAUCCUACUACCAUCUCUACCCGAACGAUGCCACCUUAGUUUGGGACAGAUUGCCUAUGACGAUUGCUUUCACGUCUAUCGUGGCCAUUUUCCUCAUUGAAAGGGUUGAUGAUAGGGCAGGAACAACGUCCCUUUCACCCCUUGUUAUUGUUGGUGCACUGAGCAUCCUUGAAAACCAUGGAAGUAAUCCAGUUUGUUCCAUGCAUUCUAAACCUGUGAUGGCUAUAGUUAUUCCACCAAUGUAUACACAUUCAAGCUACUGGUUGUGGACAACAGGAUUUUACCUUCUUGCCAAAGUAGAAGAGGCUGCGGACAAACCUAUAUAUAGGUGGACACAUGACAUUGUUAGCGGACAUACUCUUAAGCAUCUAUGUGCUGCGAUGGUACCUGUUUUCUUGACUCUUAUGUUGGCAAAGAGGACAAUUGAACCUGACAGAGGCGGGAGCUCUGGACCCAGAUUUGCCCCGUUUUAUCAUGCAAUUGUUGCCAUGAAUUGGGAACUCUAG